ACAAAACUGAGUCGUCACUUUCUGAGCGAGCAAAAGACCGCUCGGGUUUGGACCAUUCCAGAUGGUCUUAGAAAGCCUGCUUCCUUAAAGUGCAAAAGCAUCAGUGGACAUUGCCGGGACUUACAAAAUACACCUAGAAGAAAAAGGACUGUCGUGAGGAUUACCUUAGUUAACACAUACAAAGAGCUGGUGCAGCAGCGUCUGACAUAAAG